rnacentral:rRNA from 1 species
GUGCCAGCAGCCGCGGUAAUUCCAGCUCCAAUAGCGUAUAUUAAAGUUGUUGUGGUUAAAAAGCUCGUAGUUGAACCUUGGGCCUGGCUGGCCGGUCCGCCUCACCGCGUGCACUGGUCCGGCCGGGCCUUUCCCUCCGUGGAACCCCAUACCCUUCACUGGGCGUGGCGGGGAAACAGGACAUUUACUUUGAAAAAAUUAGAGUGCUCCAGGCAGGCCUAUGCUCGAAUACAUUAGCAUGGAAUAAUAAAAUAGGACGCGCGGUUCUAUUUUGUUGGUUUAUAGGACCGCCGUAAUGAUUAAUAGGGACAGUCGGGGGCAUCAGUAUUCAACUGUCAGAGGUGAAAUUCUUGGAUCAGUUGAAGACUAACUACUGCGAAAGCAUUUGCCAAGGAUGUUUUCAUUAAUCAGGAACGAAAGUUAGGGGAUCGAAGACGAUCAGAUACCGUCGUAGUCUUAACCAUAAACUAUGCCGACUAGGGAUCGGACGGUGUUAUUCAUGACCCGUUCGGCACCUUACGAGAAAUCAAAGUGCUUGGGCUCCAGGGGGAGUAUGGUCGCAAGGCUGAAACUUAAAGAAAUUGACGGAAGGGCACCACCAGGGGUGGAGCCUGCGGCUUAAUUUGACUCAACACGGGGAAACUCACCAGGUCCAGACACAAUAAGGAUUGACAGAUUGAGAGCUCUUUCUUGAUUUUGUGGUGGUGGUGCAUGGCCGUUCUUAGCUAGUGGGGUGACUUGUCUGCUUAAUUGCGAUACGAACGAGACCUUAACCUGCUAAAUAGCCCGCAUUGCU